ensembl:lncRNA
UUUUUUACAGGAUAAUCUGGUUCUGCAAUAGCACAGGGGAGUUUUGGCUGAUAUAGUGACAUCAGGCUCAGCGCUCCUGCCCCACACAAAGAAGAGUUCAUUCUGCUGGGGGUUGCCCUUCUCUUUCCAGCCCUUCCACCCCUGCACCUUUGGCUGCUGGAUGAUGCUCUUGUCAGCCCAGUGAAAAUUCUUGUGCAAUCCUGACAAAUGAACACCACAAGAAGUUGGAUCUGGAAAGACCAUCAGCCCUCAUGGGUUUAGGAACAUCUGUGAAUUUAGCAUGAAGGCACUUUGAGACAGAAACCAGCUGAGAGCUUCAGCUGUUAUCGCCUGCCUUCACACACUCCGAGGCCAGAUGGCUGAAGAGAAGGCGUUCAGCCACCAGUCGGUGGGCACUACAGGACUUUCCCAUCAAUCCAGAGAAAGACAAUUCAUUUUUCCCUUUCUGGUAUCAUUCAGACUGCUGUGUGAUGGGAGACUCAAGGGUAACCAACAGCUAAUCCUUGCAGAGCUGGCAGCUCUGGGCAGUAGUCAUAGCUGGAGGGAGGAUACCAAAGACUUUAUGGGGAAAAUUCCCUCUGAUUGCAAAGGGCCAGAGUAAGUGGGGAGAGGUUACUUCUUAUUUUGGGGUAGUCCCUUGGGAUAGUCCAGAUGUGCUCCAUCAUGUCUGGUGGGGCGCAUCAAGUGAACAAAUAGUCUUUCAAGUGGAACCUUUGUCCUCCAAGGUAACUUUAAUGGGUUUUCACUAUUCCAUUAUUUCCCAUUGGUGGGUUUCCAUAUGGUUGCUGAAGAUCAUCAGGGAGUUGCACCAUCUGAAAGGGUAUUGUACCAAAGGUUCAACAUGUAGACCCAUAUUCAAGCCUGGAAGACUAAGAAACCAGACUCAUAGGUACAUGUGGCAAACAUAAGUGAGAUGGACAUGACUUAACACUUUGCCAAUAAAAAAGAAAACCCCCCAUCAGCAUUAUGACUUGCCAUCUUUCAUAAUGCAAUGAAACUGGAAGAUAAAUAGGGAACUUAGAAACCUCUAAUAGCUUUUAAAGAACGUGGUAUAGCUGCAGUCAAACAAAUGUGCCCGGGUUUUGAUGUUCUAAUAUAUUUUGUCAUUUCUUUUCUGGAAGAGAAAGGAGAAAGCAAUGAAAAUUAGGUUUUGUUUUCCAUUGUUUGUCCCAGCUCCAGCAGUAUGUGCAGAAGAUUGGGUACAUUGAGAUAGCCCUUGAAUAAUGUUGCGAAGGUGGACAGAGAUUAAGAAG